rnacentral:rRNA from 1 species
AAUAGAUACCCAGGUAGUCCAUGCCGUAAACGUUGGGAACUAGAUGUAGGGCCUGUUCCACGGGUUCUGUGUCGUAGCUAACGCAUUAAGUUCCCCGCCUGGGGAGUACGGGCCGCAAGGCUAAAACUCAAAGGAAUUGACGGGGGCCCGCACAAGCGGCGGAGCAUGCGGAUUAAUUCGAUGCAACGCGAAGAACCUUACCAAGGCUUGACAUAUAGAAGAACACUGCAGAGAUGCAGGACUCUUUGGACACUUCUAUACAGGUGGUGCAUGGUUGUCGUCAGCUCGUGUCGUGAGAUGUUCGGUUAAGUCCGGCAACGAGCGCAACCCUCGUCCUAUGUUGCCGGCACGUGAUGGUGGGAACUCAUGGGAUACUGCCGUGGUCAACACGGAGGAAGGUGGGGAUAACGUCAAAUCAUCAUGCCCCUUAUGUCUUGGGCUUCACGCAUGCUACAAUGGCCGGUACAAAGGGCUGCGAUACCGUAAGGUGGAGCGAAUCCCAAAAGCCGGUCUCGAGUUCGGAUUGGGUCUGC